rnacentral:lncRNA from 1 species
AAAUUGUUCUAGAAUUAGUAUGAUUUUAAUGUUCUGCUCUAGAUCAUCCUAGCAAAAUAUUAACCUGUUCUAAAAAGGUAAUCUUGAGAGGCACACAAAUUGAUUAGAUAACAUAUUAUUUUGAAUGAUUAUAUUCCAGAAAAUUAUGAAUGUGUAAAUUUUAUCCUUAUAGAAAAACUUAAAUUAGUUUUUUAGAAAAAGCAUUGUGAAAAAUAAAAAUAUUUAUUACAAAAUAAUCUAUCAUUGUAUUCUAUAAUGGAGAUUGUGUAGUUAAUAAUAGAAUAAAAAAACACCCCAGAUAGAAUUUAUAUCAAAAAGAACGAAAAAUAAUAUAUCUGCAUCUUUCCUUCACAGUUUUUAUAUCAUGAUGAGUGAAAUUGGAAGAUUAUUACAUUUUGUUUAAAUUACUAGGGGUCUGCCCCUGCAGUCUUCAAUCAUCAACUCCGUGGAGGCUGCAUCCCCUAUAUUCAGAUCUCAAGACAGAGUAGUUUAUCUGAACAUCAACAAAGAAAUUUCUAUGUAUGAAGUUUCUGUAAAUGAUCUAACCAUCAUAUUGGAAAUGAGCAUUAAGUUUAUAUUGGCAUUGCAUGCUAAUAUAAAUUCAGAAAAUGUUUGUAAAAAAUUAAGACUUGACCUUUAAAAAAGAUUGUCUUGAAUAGAAAUCACAAACCCCAUCAAUGGCAAAAAGUGUCAAAAUAGAGACGUAUUCUCACAGAAGAGGGAUGCCUUCAUCAUCAAAACAGCUAGGAUUCGUGAUUUCUCUUAUUUAGAAGUAUUACAAAUGUGUAUAACAAAAUGGUGUUUAGAAGGAACAGUAAAUAACAGUUGUAAAACUUGCAGUCACAAGAAGCUGGUGUAUCCGAUAGAUGAGAGAAGGUUGUCAUGGCUUGUCCAGGAAAACGGAAAGGCUACAGUUGUAACUCUUAUUAUAUCUUACAACCAAAGCCUAAAGCAAAAGCCAUCUCCAAUAGAACAAUGGAACAUGCAUUGCGUAGAUUGGAAUAUAACAGCGGAUGUCCUCUCCAGCAUUCCCAUUUGAUUACACACCAUCAAAAUCAGUGCCUUAUUUAUAGUGCUGGGAAUGGCAGAAUUCAAUUGUAGACCAAUGAAAAAAGUGUGUUGGUCCAUUGAAUCUAUUUUCUAUUGAAGACAGUUGACAGAUGGAUAAAGAUGUGGCAACAAUAUUAUAAUUCUAUGGAUCUCAGUUGCUACAUUGAGAUCCAGUAAACUGGAGGUAGUGUGAUGAUCUGGGAUCUGUUUUACAGGGAUUCCUCUGGUGUGCUGGUUGAUGUCAUCCAUAUCAUGAAAGCCAGAGAUGGAGUCUUAUUUCAAAUCACAUAUAUCCAGCAAUGAGGAUCCUCUUCCCAUAAGGGAAUAGCAUGUUCCAAUAGGAAAAUGUUCAUUAUCAUAUAGCCAAACUUAUGCUAAACUGAUUUGAGGAAAAUUCAGCCAGUUUGAGGCCAUGGAGCAUUACUUUGCUCCUUGAAUUGCCAAUUCAUCCAAAUUCAUCUAAUUUUCCAUCAUCUCAUAGAUUGAACAUCUAUGAUAUGAUGAAGUGUUGAUUAUGCAUGCUGGAGCCAUCAUUGGGAUAUGUACAUGAACUUUAGCAAGUUCUGCAUGAAUAUGGCAGAAUAUGGAUCCUGUAUAUAUCCACAACCUUGUAGCAUUUAUGCCAUGUUGUGUUUGGGCUGUCAUUGCAGCAAAAGGAGCAGUGAUGGUUCAAACACAACAUGCAUAUGUUAAAUGAAUGUUUACAUUCAAAGAUGUGAACAUUUAUUUAACAUCAACAUGCUAUUAAAUGAAUGUUCACAUCUUUUUGCCACAAUAAUAUAUAAACUUUGGAGUAACAUGUGCAAAGUCGCUAAUUCUAUCGACUUUCAAGUAUCAACAACAAGACUUAUAAUUAAACCUAAUGGUUAACACGACUCUGC